UUUUUUUUUUUUUUUUUUUUUUUUUUUUUUUUCCAAAAAUAAUUCACUUACAACUAAUAUGUUUUAUGCUAAUCUGUAAAAGAAAAGUUAUUCUGAACAAUGCCACAUCAAGGACAAUAUAAUUGACAGAAUA
rnacentral:ribozyme from 13 species